GUAGGUUGGGUAAUGGUUAACCAUCGAACCCAUCAAGGAGUAGAGAUCAGUCAAUACUCAAUCAAUACAGAGAAGUGGAGAACUAGAAGAGGAAGGAAUAAACUCUAGGGUUUAGCWGAGAUCACUCGAUCAAUACAAUAGUUUAGGCUGCCAGAGAACAAAGAGGGAAGAAGGAACUCUAGGUUUUAGCAAAGAUCAAUAGGCGAUUCAGGCUACCAGAGAACAAAGAGGGAAGAAUGAACUUUAGGGUUUAGCAGAGAUGAAUACGACGAGUUAGGCUGCCAGAGAAUGAAGAGGGAAGAACGAACUCUAGGGUUUAGCAGAGAUGAAUACGGCAGUUCAGGUUGCCGGAGAACGAAGAGGGAAGAAUAAACUCUAGGGUUUAGCAGAGAUCAUUACGGUGAUUCAUGCUGCCACCUCAGGUACUCAAACUCUCUUUGCAGCGAUUCAAGCUACUAGAGAACGAAGAGGGAAUAACGAACUCUAGGGUUUAGUAGAGAUCAAUACGACGAUUCAAGCUUCCAUCUGAGGUCAAGUCACCUCGGGUACCUUGGGCACCUCGGCUAGGACCGAGGUUUGAGCAGCUCGUGACAACCCGACCUACCAAUGUGACGCGUAGCCAUUUUCUAGAAGCGAACCAGCUGUCUCCGAGCUCUUUGGGAUCACACAACACAACUGUAGGUCUUAUCCUUAUCCCUCUCGGAUUGGACGGACUCGAUAAGUCUUAUUGGCAAGCACAAACCUCCUGGUGCGGAACGGACUCCUAACAACGUGGUCCAAAGAUCUCGGGGGUGUUUCGUGAGACCUACAACAGCUCACCUAUUUAAGGGCAUCAACCCCAAUGUUGCAAGUUUGACCAGGCAACUAAGCAACCAAUGACCGGGCUUCCCUCUAGCUAGGAGCAUCUAGAUUGCGCACAAUCAACAAGGUUGAAGUGUCUAACUUGUUUGACAUUAGUAGCUUUAUCUUUUUAUGGAAUUUCACUCUAUGGAUAUCCUUUUUGGUUAAUCGCUCUACAGAUUCUGAAGAAUGGAAGUUGGGUUCUAUUGGAUGAAUUUAAUCUUGCUCCACAAUCUGUUAUAAAGAUGUUUGGAGGUUAAAAUAAUAGGAACUCUGGAUUUGUUACAGCUUUCUUAACAAUCUUAAGUUGAUUAACUUAGUAGAGCUAGAUAUGGCCUUAUAUUUGUCUCCAUGAUGGGUUAGAAACUUCUCAUAGCUUGGAUAUUGAGUUUUGAUUCCCAUCCUGGUCAAUCAAACAAAUAUGUAAGUAAUCCAUUGGCAUUGGUUGGGAAAGGAUAGAAGAUCAAGAUUAUUGCUUUUCAGAAAACGGAGGGGUUGGAUCUUCAUACAGUGAACUCAUGGCAAAAGCCCAAUUCUCUUUCAGCCAAUAAAUCAUGUCAGGGAAAUCCAUUAUUAGGCCAGAGGGAGAACUCAAAGUUAGCUUCAAUAAAAAAGAAAAGAAACUUGUUCAACUUUACAAUGGAUAUGAAAUCCCAUUUGAAUCCAAGCUCCAAAGGGCAAUUCAGGAAUACACCCCAGAACUAUUGUAAUUUUCACAGUAAUACUGUUUUUUUCACAUGUAUAGAAAGAAUAAAAUGAAAGUUGCAAUUUCUGUUUUCUCAAAUUUUUAUGUAAGUUCUA